rnacentral:rRNA from 1 species
GGAGAACCUGCCCUCAGGUGGGGGAUAAUCCCGGGAAACUGGGAAUAAUACCCCAUAGGUCUCGGCUGCUGGAAUGCUUCGAGGCCGAAAGCUACGGCGCCUGAGGAUGGCUCUGCGGCCUAUCAGGUAGUAGUGAGGGUAACGUCCUCACUAGCCGAUGACGGGUACGGGCGUUGAAAGACGGAGCCCGGAGAUGGACUCUGAGACACGAGUCCAGGCCCUACGGGGCGCAGCAGGCGCGAAACCUUCGCAAUGCUCGAAAGAGUGACGAGGGGAUUCCAAGUGCCUACGCUCAGCGUAGGCUGUUCAGAUGCCUAAAAAGCAUCUGGAGGAAGGACUGGGUAAGACGGGUGCCAGCCGCCGCGGUAAUACCCGCAGUCCGAGUGGUAGUCGAUUUUAUUGGGCCUAAAGCGUCCGUAGCCGGUCUGGAAAAUGCCUGGGUAAAUCGUCUGGCUCAACCAAACGAAUUCCGGGUAGACUACCAGACUUGGGACCGGUUGAGGGAGAGGGUACUUCAGGGGUAGGAGUGAAAUCCUGUAAUCCCUGAAGGACCACCGGUGGCGAAGGCGCUCUCCCAGAACGGGUCCGACGGUGAGGGACGAAAGCCAGGGGAGCAAACCGGAUUAGAUACCCGGGUAGUCCUGGCCGUAAACGAUGCGGGCUUUGCAUUGGGGGUCCUACGAGGGCGCUCAGUGCCGAAGCGAAGGCGUUAAGCCCGCCGCCUGGGAAGUAUGGUCGCAAGGCUGAAACUUAA